ACGUAACAAAUUAGCUAUUGGUUUUUGCAAUAAUAAAAAAUAACAUAUCAUAAAAUUGUGAUUAAAUUGAAUAAAAAUUAUAAAAACAAAAUAUAAAAUUGUGAUUAAAAUAAAUAGAAAUAUCAUAACCAGGUGCCGAGAAUUGAUGAGAACAUGGUAGGGUGUUCAGUAGGGGAGAACUAAAUACAUUAAUUGGGAUCUCAUUCAACCACCCAACGAGAGCAUCAGAACGACUGAGGGCAUAAAGUAAAAGGGAACUAAGAAGAGCAGCGUUCUCAAAGCCGGAACGACGCCAAAGCCCAACGAACGACGUGCGUGCUCCGAUGUGCACGCAGUGGUGGGGGCAAAUCGUUCCAGCAUCGAGACGCUGCAAAUCUAAACGAUCCUCGAAAUGCUGCUGUACGAUGUCUCGGAGUGAGGAAGACUGAGGUGAUCAAGACCGUAGUAGCUGAGUUUCGACAGCAACAACGAUAUGUUGAUUGAGUCGAAAGCCCGAGAAAAAUCAAGAAGCACUAAUGCUGACACCAUCCCCUGAUCUUGACCCGCAAGAAGGCUAUCCACAACGUCCGCCAAAGCGGUCGCCGUGCUGUGUCCCUUGCGGAAACCUGAUUGUGAACCUGGUAAUAUGUUGUACUUCUCCAAGUAUGUAGUUAGCUGCUUGCAAACUAUUCUCUCUAAGACCUUGGAAAGGCAUGGAAGGAUACUAACAGGUCGAAGAUCCUGCACCGUUGCUGGCUGGUUGGUCUUAGGCAAUGGUGUCACCGCUGCCACCUUCCAGUCCUCGGGAAACAUUCCUUGCUGUAGUGAGCAAUUAAUAAUAGCUGUCAAUGUCUCGAGUGAGUGCGGCAAGGUGAGCAGCAAAGCAUCCAGUGCCAGACCAUCGUUUCCCUGUGCGUUCGACCUCAGCCCCCCAACAACCUCCAGCACCUCCCUGCUAGUUACAGUUUGGAGUGAAAAAACAGCCUUGGCAUUGUACCUAUUAUGCUCAUAAAAAGAUAAUGUAGAAAUCGAUACUUCGUUUGAGCCUGGUAUGUGCAGAAAGUGCUGAUUUAUAACAUUAGGUUCAUUGAACUCUGGUGGCAGCUCAUUAGUCCUCUCAUUAUUUGGAAGCACUGUAUUUUUGAGAUUCUUCCACAGUUUCUUUGAGUUACCUAUGUUAUUAUUUAUAUAUUUUUCAAAGUAACAUUUUUUCUCCCUUUCCAUCGCCUCAAGUACUACCCGUCUCAUUCUUCCGUAACAUUCUUUCAAAUUCGAUGUUUUGAGUUUUUUAUAUUUAUUGUGAUAAUUAUCCCUAAUACGCAUCAUUGUUCUGACAGUGUCCGUUAUCCACGGGUGGGGAGGAUGUUUAAACUUUUUGGUAGUUAUUGGGGUAUGUAAAUCCAUCAAUCCGAUAGUGCAUGAUGUGAAUGCCUGUACCAAAUGGUUAACCUCAUUAAUUUUCCUAAAAUUGUUCCACUGAAUGGCACUGAGGUCCGAAUUCAGCCGUUCAAGCAAAAUGUUCUUAAACGGUCUAUAUGUCACCCACCUAGGUCUUGGUAUGUUUACUUUAAUCUUGACUUCUGCCAGUAUCAUGGCAUGCCCACCUCGAUCUGGUGAGUGCCUAACUGUCAGUUUUGGAACCCGAACAUCCGUGCACACAACAUCUAUUAAAGUGGCACUAUGGUCUGUGAAGUGGGUGGGCUCUUUGACAAUUUGACUUAAAUUCAGACUCUCAAUGAAUUGCGCGAAGGCUCUAUAACCACGGCUGCUGAUAUCAAGGAGAUUGAUGUUGAAGUCUCCCACCAAUAUCAAGCCGUCAGAGUGCGAGAAGGAGGUGACCGAUUCAGUGAUAGCGUCUAGGAAUAUAUUUACGUCUAGCCAGGGUGGUCUAUAUGCAGUUCCCACGACUAUAUUCUGCUGGUGU